rnacentral:rRNA from 1 species
AUGAGCUGGCGGAUGCUUUAACAUGCAAGUCGCACGGCAGCACAGAGAAGCUUGCUUCUUGGGUGGCGAGUGGCGAACGGGUGAGUAACAUAUCGGAACGUACCGAGUAGUGGGGGAUAACUAAUCGAAAGAUUAGCUAAUACCGCAUACGUCUUGAGAGAGAAAGCAGGGGAUCUUCGGACCUUGCGCUAUUCGAGCGGCCGAUAUCUGAUUAGCUAGUUGGUGGGGUAAAGGCCUACCAAGGCGACGAUCAGUAGCGGGUCUGAGAGGAUGAUCCGCCACACUGGGACUGAGACACGGCCCAGACUCCUACGGGAGGCAGCAGUGGGGAAUUUUGGACAAUGGGCGCAAGCCUGAUCCAGCCAUGCCGCGUGUCUGAAGAAGGCCUUCGGGUUGUAAAGGACUUUUGUCAGGGAAGAAAAGGUUGGUGCUAAUAUCGCUGACUGAUGACGGUACCUGAAGAAUAGCACCGGCUAACUACGUGCCAGCAGCCGCGGUAAU